UAGGUUAGUUUUGAGUUCAGUAUUUUCAAACAUUUCAACCAAAAAAGUAUUCAAGAUGUAACUUAAAAGGAUUUUUUAGUCUAAAAACUUGAAUUCAAAUAAAGUACCAAAUAUGCUCUAAUUAUGUACAAUGUCACCUCAAAUGUCACAUACAUAUUCAAUAGUCUAUUCAGUAGAAGAAGUUUAAUACACAUAUGAAAAAUGUAUCUUUUUUCUUUUAGAUAGUAUAUGAACAAUUACCUUAAACACACUUUGUAUUAUAAUUGGACUGGCCAAUAAUUUUUUUUUUUUAUAAUACAACAAUUUAAUUUAUCAAACAACGGAGGAUGGGCAACCAAAACAGGUCAUCAAUAAUAUUAUGGGUUCGAACUUUUUAUUCAUAAGAUUCGAACUUAAGAUCUCUCAUUUAUUAAUAAAGAAGAAUACAUGUAGAACUCAUUGGCUAAUGUCUUAUUCAUGCUGAAAACUCAAAUUUUCAUUUCAGCAAACAUUCUCUCGCAUGGUAUCAUGUUCUUUAGUAUCCAUUGACUAAUGUGUAGUUGAAUUGGCUGGAGGAUAGUAAAGCUACCGUUAAAUUCAAAUCGUGUAGGGAUAUGGUUGAAUGAGACAACUACAUAAGUAAAAGUGAAUUUGGUAAUGAUAGUAAGUUAACUUAUUAACCUUGUCCUUUGGGCUGGUUAAUCGGUGUGAUUACACAAAAUGGAACCACUUGUAACAUUUAACUGAUUUGACCCCAAUCUAAAUCUCUCUUUUUGUUGUUGUGUGUGCGCCUUUUUACAACUGGUGUGAGAAGGAGGGAAUGAAUACAUGCAUUUGGUUCAAAGGUAAACCAAUAAUAUUAUGACGUAUUUACUUAACAUGAAUCAGAAUAGUAAAGGAUCCGGAAAUAUUUGGAAUAAAAGAAGUGGAGAAAGAAAAUCGGAUUAACUAGUUCAACUAGUUGUUUUAUUCUAGAUUUUUAAGUAUUAGUUUACAAAUUUUAAGAAAAAACUACAACUUUCCAGAUGCCAUAUUUGAUAAUAAACACAUAAAAAGUUAAGAAUUAAAAUAAUAUUAGUACUCUUAUUUUAAUAAACACAAAAAACUCAAAUAUUAUAAUCUUUCAAUUUGUAUUCGCAUAAGUAAAUACACCAUUAACUACUUCACCUACAAGCUCUUUUACUUCUGUUUGUAUUUUUUUUUUAAUUUGCAUAUUCCAUAAUGAAUCAGGUAUGCAUUAUAGUAAGGCUUAGUUGGAUCAAUAGUCCCCCUAGUGAUUCGUUAGUUGGAAGAAUCCGUCUAGUAAAACAAAUUAGGAUUUAAACUAUUGUGGUGACAAGGAGGAUCCUCACCGGAUCCUCUUUGUAAGGAUCCUGAGAUUCUCCAAUCACAUCUGUUCAUCGUACAUCGUGUGGUCAGAAAUCAUUGUAAUUUUUUUAUUUAAAAUUGAAUAUAAACAGUACCUGAUAAAAACUAGCCGCACGAUGUACUAUGAAUGGAUGUGAUUGGAGGAUCCCUGGGAUCCUCACAAAGAGGAUUUGGCGAGGAUCCUCUCUCUUGUAGUGAAGUCUACUAUGAUUUAGGCCCAAAACUAAAGGUUCUGUCAAAACUCUGUUAACUUUAUCUGUUUAGCCACACAUGUAAUCCUCACAUGCUAACAAUUAACAGAGAGUUAGCGAACAUUUUAAUUUGGGAUCUAAAUCCUAAUGAACUUUACCACAAAGGUUUAAUAUUUAGAUCUUAAUUAUUUUUUUAUUAUUUUUGUCUCAAUGGCUAUCUUUAUACUACUCUAUCACUACAUGAACUAGUAAUCUAAUAGGCCUUAUAUAGUAAACAUGGGAGAUCAUUUCAAGACACAUCAAGUGCAAUGCACGUGCCUUGCCAAUAUGAGACCUGCAUCACUAAAUGGUAAAAAUAAGUUGCAUCACCUUGUAACUUGUAUGAUAUAUGGAAUGGGGACUGGGCAGGUCAAACUUUGGGAGUGGAGAUGGAGAUGGAUCAUCUUUACUUCUGGGCUUCAAUGAAAUCCUUCUGUGAAAAUCAAUAACUAUGGGUUUGAUCAGCUGAGCUUUUGGGCCAGAGGAUCUCUUGUUUAUUGGACUCAUGAGAUUUCUGGGACAUUCAUUGGACCGUAGGUCCGUGUAUAAGUCCAAUAUUGUGGACAGGUGUCAUGGGUCAGACUCCAGAUUAGGCAAGGACCUCACGAUGUGUGUUACUGCUGCGCUUGCACUGUAACUUGUCCUUUACAAUUUGUCCUUGUCAAUUUGACAAAACAUGGUGUGUAACCUGUCGUAUCCUUUGAGCUAACGUUUGUUGACGAUGUUAGGGCAUUUGUAUUUGGAAGACAGGAGAGUGUUGUGAUGCCAUUCGUGUUACUGCUAUUUGAGAUGUGGAUCCUUUGUCUAUAGUAAUCGUAGUUUCUUUUGCUAGAUUUCUAUGUGACUGUUUAGGCCAAGAAUCUACAUUUCUGGUAUUAUGGUUGUGAACUGUUGAUGCUCUCUGCUUGUAAUGUGUAAUUUUUCGUCAAAUGAAUUGGAAUAUGACCUUGUUGUAGAGUGAUAAUUGCUCCUUGUUAAUGCUUCUCUCCUUGUAUCUUCCCAUCUGUCUCAAACAUGUUAGCUAUUGUUCCCUUAAUUGAUGUCUUCUAUGUUGAAAAUUAGUAAUAUCUUGACAAGCCAGAAAGGAAUUUGAUGCAUUUGACGAACAUGAACCAACUAACCAAGUGUAGAAGACAAACUUAAGGAUAAUGUUAGACCUACUUCUACUUGAGCUUGCUGACAGAUAAUUGACUUUGUAUGUGCAACUUAUCAAUGGCAUUUAUCAAUGCCAUGGGCUCGUAUAUUCUUUUGAAUUGCUUCUUGACGUCUCUGCCACUAAAUAUGAGGUUUUGUGAAGAACUGCAUUCACUGUGUUGAUGCACAAAAUCAGCGAAGACUUUGGUACAACAGAAAGUGUCAGGUUUUGUG
rnacentral:lncRNA from 1 species